rnacentral:lncRNA from 1 species
CUCUUUCUCCAUCUCCCUUGAGCUUUCAUUUCUCUCACAGAGAGAGAGAGAAAGAGAGAGAGAGGGAAUCAUUCUACAAUCUGUCAUAUUCCUCCUAAAGCUUGAGAGAUCAGAUCUCGCAAAGCCCACCGACGACGAGAGCAAUGGCUGAAAAGGUGCAUAUUACCUUCCUCAUCCUUCCAAUUUAUGAAGACUCUUUCUCUCUGACUGACAGAAAGAUUAUUGUAACCCACAAAUGAUCAGCUCUUUUGCAUUCUUGCAUAAAAAAAUAGAUUUCUCAUUCUUCUGGUGGCCGAAAGAGCCGUGCUUUCCUCUGCUUUUAGCUUCGUUUUGUUUGCAGAGCACAGAAGAUCUUUGCUUGUGUUGUUCACUCACUCUCUCUGUGUUUGUGCGUAUGUGUGUGUGACUGUGAGUGUAGAAAG